rnacentral:rRNA from 1 species
CAAUAGCGUAUAUUAAAGUUGUUGCGGUUAAAAAGCUCGUAGUUGGAUUUCUGCUGAGGACGACCGGUCCGCCCUCCGGGUGAGCAUCUGGUUCGGCCUUGGCAUCUUCUUGGUGAACGUAUCUGCACUUGACUGUGUGGUGCGGUACCCAGGACUUUUACUUUGAGGAAAUUAGAGUGUUUCAAGCAGGCAUACGCCUUGAAUACAUUAGCAUGGAAUAAUAGAAUAGGACUUCCGGUUCUAUUUUGUUGGUUUUGGAGCCGAAGUAAUGAUUAAUAGGGAUAGUUGGGGGCACUCGUACUCCGUUGUCAGAGGUGAAAUUCUUGGAUUGACGGAAGACGAACAACUGCGAAAGCAUCUGCCAAGGAUGUUUUCAUUGAUCAAGAACGAAAGUUAGGGGAUCGAAGACGAUUAGAUAUC